UUGGGGCUAGGGUAAGGUUUAAGGUUUUUGGCAUUAGGGUUAAAAUCACUGUCCAAAACCUUUGUAGGAACUAUUUUCCAAGCUUUGGGAGUUAGUUAGACCAAAAAAAAAGAAAGAUGAAAAAAAAAAAUAUUUGGGGUUUUCGGGCUUCCUGAAGGUAAUACGGUUAAUAAUAUUAGGUUUUGGGGCUAGGGUAAGGUUUAAGGUUUUUGGCGUUAGGGUUAAAAUGACUGUCCAAAACCUAUUUAGGAACAUGUUUCAGACCUUUUGGAGUUGGUUACACCAAAUAAAAAUAAAAAAAAAUAAAAAAAUAUUUGGGGUGUUUGGGCUUCCUGAAGGUAAUACCCGGGUAUUAAGAGUUGGGGCUAGGGUAAGGUUUAAGGUUUUGGCGUUAGGGUUUAAAUCACUGUCCAAAACCUUUGUAGGAACUGUUUUCCAACCUUUUGGAGUUAGUUAGACCAAAUAAAAAUGAAAAAUGAAAAAAAUAUAUUUGGGGUGUUUGGGCUUCCUGAAGGUAAUACCCGGGUAUUAAGAGUUGGGGCUAGGGUAAGGUUUAAGGUUUUGGCGUUAGGGUUUAAAUCACUGUCCAAAACCUUUGUAGGAACUGUUUUCCAACCUUUUGGAGUUAGUUAGACCAAAUAAAAAUGAAAAAUGAAAAAAAAAUAUUUGGGGUGUUCGGGCUUCCUGAAGAUAAUACACGGGUAUUAAGUUUUGGGGCUAGGUAAGGUUUAAGGUUUUUGGCGUUAGGGUUAAAAUCACUGUCCAAAACCUUUGUAGGAACUGUUUUCCAACCUUUGGGAGUUAGUUAGACCAAAUAAAAAUGAAAAAUGAAAAAAAAAAUAUUUGGGGUGUUUGGGCUUCCUGAAGGUAAUACCCGGGUAUUAAGAUUUGGGGCUAGGGUAAGGUUUAAGGUUUUGGCGUUAGGGUUUAAAUCACUGUCCAAAACCUUUGUAGGAACUCUUUUCCAACCUUUUGGAGUUAGUUAGACCAAAUAAAAAUGAAAAAUGAAAAAAAAAUAUUUGGGGUGUUCGGGCUUCCUGAAGGUAAUACCCGGGUAUUAGGUUAUGGGGCUGGGGUAAGGUUUAAGGUUUUUGGCGUUAGGGUUAAAAUCACUGUCCAAAACCUUUGUAGUAACUCUUUUCCAACCUUUUGGAGUUAGUUAGACUAAAAAAAAAGAAAGAUGAAAAAAAAAAUAUUUGGGGUUUUCGGGCUUCCUGAAGGUAAUACUUUAAUAAUAUUAGGUUUUGGGGCUAGGGUAAGGUUUAAGGUUUUUGGCGUUAGGGUUAAAAUGACUGUCCAAAACCUAUUGAGGAACAUGUUUCAGACCUUUUGGAGUUGGUUACACCAAAUAAAAAAAAAAAUAAAAAAAAAAUAUUUGGGGUGUUCGGGCUUCCUGAAGGUAAUACCCGGGUAUAAGUUUUGGGGCUAUGGUAAGGUUUAAGGUUUUUGGCAUUAGGGUUAAAAUCACUGUCCAAAACCUUUGUAGGAACUCUUUUCCAACCUUUUGGAGUUAGUUAGACCAAAUAAAAAUGAAAAAUGAAAAAAAAAAUAUUUGGGGUGUUUGGGCUUCCUGAAGGUAAUACCCGGGUAUUAAGAGUUGGGGCUAGGGUAAGGUUUAAGGUUUUGGCGUUAGGGUUUAAAUCACUGUCCAAAACCUUUGUAGGAACUGUUUUCCAACCUUUGGGAGUUAGUUAGACCAAAAAGAAAUGAAAAAUGAAAAAAAAAUAUUUGGGGUUUUUAGGGAUUCCUGAAGGUAAUACCCGGGUAUUAGGUUUUGGGGCUAGGGGAAGGUUUAAGGUUUUUGGCGUUAGGGUUAAAAUGACUGUCCAAAACCUAUUUAGGAACAUGUUUCAGACCUUUAGGAGUUGGAUACACCAAAUGAAAAUAAAAAAAUAAAAAAUAAAAUAUUUGGGGUGUUCGGGCUUCCUGAAGGUAAUACCCGGGUAUAAGUUUUGGGGCGAUGGUAAGGUUUAAGGUUUUUGGCGUUAGGGUUAAAAUCACUGUCCAAAACCUUUGUAGGAACUCUUUUCCAACCUUUUGGAGUUAGUUUGACCAAAAAGAAAUGAAAAAUGAAAAAAAAAUAUUUGGGGUGUUCGGGCUUCCUGAAGGUAAUACCCGGGUAUUAGGUUUUGUGGCUAGGGAAAGGUUUAAGGUUUUUGGCGUUAGGGUUAAAAUCACUGUCCAAAACCUUUGUAGGAACUCUUUUCCAACCUUUUGGAGUUAGUUAGACCAAAAAAAAUGAAAAAUGAAAAAAAAAUAUUUGGGGUUUUCGGGCUUCCUGAAGGUAAUACUAUUAGGUUUUGGGGCUAGGGUAAGGUUUAAGGUUUUUGGCGUUAGGGUUAAAAUCACUGUCCAAAACCUAUUUAGGAACAUGUUUCAGACCUUUUGGAGUUGGUUACACCAAAUAAAAAUAAAAAAUAAAAAAAAAAUAUUUGGGGUGUUUUGGCUUCCUGAAGAUAAUACCCGGGUAUUAAGAGUUGGGGCUAGGGUAAGGUUUAAGGUUUUGGCGUUAGGGUUUAAAUCACUGUCCAAAACCUUUGUAGGAACUGUUUUCCAACCUUUUGGAGUUAGUUAGACCAAAUAAAAAUGAAAAAUGAAAAAAAAUAUAUUUGGGGUGUUUGGGCUUCCUGAAGGUAAUACCCGGGUAUUAAGAGUUGGGGCUAGGGUAAGGUUUAAGGUUUUGGCGUUAGGGUUUAAAUCACUGUCCAAAACCUUUGUAGGAACUGUUUUCCAACCUUUUAGAGUUAGUUAGACCAAAUAAAAAUGAAAAAUGAAAAAAAAAUAUUUGGGGUGUUUGGGCUUCCUGAAGGUAAUACCCGGGUAUUAAGAUUUGGGGCUAGGGUAAGGUUUAAGGUUUUGGCGUUAGGGUUUAAAUCACUGUCCAAAACGUUUGUAGGAACUCGUUUCCAACCUUUUGGAGUUAGUUAGACCAAAAAGAAAUGAAAAAUGAAAAAAAAAUAUUUGUGGUGUUCGGGCUUCCUGAAGGUAAUACCCGGGUAUUAGGUUUUGGGGCUAGGGUAAGGUUUAAGGUUUUGGCGUUAGGGUUUAAAUCACUGUCCAAAACCUUUGUAGGAACUGUUUUCCAACCUUUUGGAGUUAGUUAGACCAAAUAAAAAUGAAAAAUGAAAAAAAAUAUUUGGGGUGUUUUGGCUUCCUGAAGGUAAUACCCGGGUAUUAAGAUUUGGGGCUAUGGUAAGGUUUAAGGUUUUGGCGUUAGGGUUUAAAUCACUGUCCAAAACCUUUGUAGGAACUCUUUUCCAACCUUUUGGAGUUAGUUACACCAAAUAAAAAUGAAAAAUGAAAAAAUAUAUAUUUGGGGUGUUUGGGCUUCCCGAAGGUAAUAUCCGGGUAUUAAGAUUUGGGGCUAGGGUAAGGUUUAAGGUUUUGGCGUUAGGGUUUAAAAUCACUGUCCAAAACCUUUGUAGGAACUGUUUUCCAACCUUUUGGAGUUAGUUAGACCAAAUAAAAAUGAAAAAUGAAAAAAAAAUAUUUGGGGUGUUUGGGCUUCCUGAAGGUAAUACCCGGGUAUUAAGAUUUGGGGCUAGGGUAAGGUUAAAGGUUUUGGCGUUAGGGUUUAAUUCACUGUCCAAAACCUAUUUAGGAACAUGUUUCAGACCUUUUGGAGUUAGUUAGACCAAAUAAAAAUGAAAAAUGAAAAAAAAUAUUUGGGGUGUUUUGGCUUCCUGAAGGUAAUACCCGGGUAUUAAGAUUUGGGGCUAUGGUAAGGUUUAAGGAUUUUUGGCGUUAGGGUUAAAAUCACUGUCCAAAACCUUUGUAGGAACUCUUUUCCAACCUUUUGGAGUUAGUUAGACCAAAUAAAAAUGAAAAAUGAAAAGAAAAUAUUUGGGGUGUUUGGGCUUCCUGAAGGUAAUACCCGGGUAUUAAGAGUUGGGGCUAGGGUAAGGUUUAAGGUUUUGGCGUUAGGGUUUAAAUCACUGUCCAAAACCUUUGUAGGAACUGUUUUCCAACCUUUUGGAGUUAGUUAGACCAAAAAAAAAUGAAAAAUGAAAAAAAAAUAUUUGGGGUUUUCGGGAUUCCUGAAGGUAAUACCCGGGUAUUAGGUUUUGGGGCUAGGGGAAGGUUUAAGGUUUUUGGCGUUAGGGUUAAAAUGACUGUCCAAAACCUAUUUAGGAACAUGUUUCAGACCUUUUGGAGUUGGUUACACCAAAUGAAAAUAAAAAAAUAAAAAAAAAAUAUUUGGGGUGUUCGGGCUUCCUGAAGGUAAUACCCGGGUAUAAGUUUUGGGGCGAUGGUAAGGUUUAAGGUUUUUGGCGUUAGGGUUAAAAUCACUGUCCAAAACCUUUGUAGGAACUCUUUUCCAACCUUUUGGAGUUAGUUAGACCAAAUAAAAAUGAAAAAUGAAAAAAAAAAUAUUUGGGGUGUUUGGGCUUCCUGAAGGUAAUACCCGGGUAUUAAGAGUUGGGGCUAGGGUAAGGUUUAAGGUUUUUGGCGUUAGGGUUAAAAAUCACUGUCCAAAACCUUUGUGGGAACUGUUUUCCAACCUUUGGGAGUUAGUUAGACCAAAAAAUAAUGAAAAAUGAAAAAAAAAUAUUUGGGGUUUUCGGGAUUCCUGAAGGUAAUACCCGGGUAUUAGGUUUUGGGGCUAGGGGAAGGUUUAAGGUUUUGGCGUUAGGGUUUAAAUCACUGUCCAAAACCUAUUUAGGAACAUGUUUCAGACCUUUUGGAGUUGGUUACACCAAAUAAAAAUAAAAAUAAAAAAAAAUAUUUGGGGUGUUUGGGCUUCCUGAAGGUAAUACCCAGGUAUUAGGUUUGGGGCUAGGGGAAGGUUUAAGGUUUUUGGCGUUAGGGUUAAAAUCACUGUCCAAAACCUUUGUAGUAACUCUUUUCCAACCUUUUGGAGUUAGUUAGACAAAAAAAAAUGAAAAAUGAAAAAAAAAUAUUUGGGGUUUUCGGGCUUCCUGAAGGUAAUACUUUAAUAAUAUUAGGUUUUGGGGCUAGGGUAAGGUUUAAGGUUUUUGGCGUUAGGGUUAAAAUGACUGUCCAAAACCUAUUUAGGAACAUGUUUCAGACCUUUUGGAGUUGGUUACACCAAAUAAAAAAAAAAAUAAAAAAAAAUAUUUGGGGUGUUUGGGCUUCCUGAAGGUAAUACCCGGGUAUUAAGAGUUGGGGCUAGGGUAAGGUUUAAGGUUUUGGCGUUAGGGUUUAAAUCACUGUCCAAAACCUUUGUAGGAACUGUUUUCCAACCUUUUGGAGUUAGUUAGACCAAAUAAAAAUGAAAAAUGAAAAAAAUAUAUUUGGGGUGUUUGGGCUUCCUGAAGGUAAUACCCGGGUAUUAAGAGUUGGGGCUAGGGUAAGGUUUAAGGUUUUGGCGUUAGGGUUUAAAUCACUGUCCAAAACCUUUGUAGGAACUGUUUUCCAACCUUUUGGAGUUAGUUAGACCAAAUAAAAAUGAAAAAUGAAAAAAAAAUAUUUGGGGUGUUUUGGCUUCCUGAAGGUAAUACCCGGGUAUUAAGAUUUGGGGCUAUGGUAAGGUUUAAGGUUUUGGCGUUAGGGUUAAAAUCACUGUCCAAAACCUUUGUAGGAACUCUUUUCCAACCUUUUGGAGUUAGUUAGACCAAAAAAUAAUGAAAAAUGAAAAAAAAAUAUUUGGGUGUUUUCGGGAUUCCUGAAGGUAAUACCCGGGUAUUAGGUUUUGGGGCUAGGGGAAGGUUUAAGGUUUUUGGCGUUAGGGUUAAAAUCACUGUCCAAAACCUUUGUAGGAACUCUUUUCCAACCUUUUGGAGUUAGUUAGACCAAAUAAAAAUGAAAAAUGAAAAAAAAUAUUUGGGGUGUUCGGGCUUCCUGAAGGUAAUACCCGGGUAUUAAGAUUUGGGGCUAGGGUAAGGUUUAAGGUUUUUGGCGUUAGGGUUAAAAUCACUGUCCAAAACCUUUGUAGGAACUAUUUUCCAACCUUUUGGAGUUAGUUAGACCAAAUAAAAAUGAAAAAUGAAAAAAAAAUAUUUGGGGUGUUUGGGCUUCCUGAAGGUAAUACCCGGGUAUUAAGAGUUGGGGCUAGGGUAAGGUUUAAGGUUUUGGCGUUAGGGUUUAAAUCACUGUCCAAAACCUUUGUAGGAACUCUUUUCCAACCUUUUGGAGUUAGUUAGACCAAAAAAAAUGAAAAAUGAAAAAAAAAUAUUUGUGGUGUUCGGGCUUCCUGAAGAUAAUACCCGGGUAUUAGGUUUUGGGGCUAGGGAAAGGUUUAAGGUUUUUGGCGUUAGGGUUAAAAUCACUGUCCAAAACCUUUGUAGGAACUCUUUUCCAACCAUUUGGAGUUAGUUAGACCAAAUAAAAAUGAAAAAUGAAAAAAAAAUAUUUGGGGUGUUUGGGCUUCCUGAAGGUAAUACCCGGGUAUUAAGAUUUGGGGCUAGGGUAAGGUUUAAGGUUUUUGGCGUUAGGGUUAAAAUCACUGUCCAAAACCUUUGUAGGAACUCUUUUCCAACCUUUUGGAGUUAGUUAGACCAAAAAAUAAUGAAAAAUGAAAAAAAAAUAUUUGGGGUUUUCGGGAUUCCUGAAGGUAAUACCCGGGUAUUAGGUUUUGGGGCUAGGGGAAGGUUUAAGGUUUUUGGCGUUAGGGUUAAAAUGACUGUCCAAAACCUAUUUAGGAACAUGUUUCAGACCUUUUGGAGUUGGUUACACCAAAUAAAAAUAAAAAAAAAAAAAAAAUAUUUGGGGUGUUCGGGCUUCCUGAAGGUAAUACCCGGGUAUAAGUUUUGGGGCUAGGGUAAGGUUUAAGGUUUUUGGCGUUAGGGUUAAAAUCACUGUCCAAAACCUGUGUAGGAACUCUUUUCCAACCUUUUGGAGUUAGUUAGACCAAAUAAAAAUGAAAAAUGAAAAAAAAUAUUUGGGGUGUUUGGGCUUCCUGAAGGUAAUACCCGGGUAUUAAGAGUUGGGGCUAGGGUAAGGUUUAAGGUUUUGGCGUUAGGGUUAAAAUCACUGUCCAAAACCUUUGUAGGAACUGUUUUCCAACCUUUUGGAGUUAGUUAGACCAAAUAAAAAUUAAAAAUGAAAAAAUAUAUAUUUGGGGUGUUUGGGCUUCCUGAAGGUAAUACCCGGGUAUUAAGAGUUGGGGCUAGGGUAAGGUUUAAGGUUUUGGCGUUAGGGUUAAAAUCACUGUCCAAAACCUAUUUAGGAACAUGUUUCAGACCUUUUGGAGUUGGUUACACCAAAUAAAAAAAAAAAAAAAAAAAAAAAUAUUUGGGGUGUUUUGGCUUCCUGAAGGUAAUACCCGGGUAUUAAGAGUUGGGGCUAGGGUAAGGUUUAAGGUUUUGGCGUUAGGGUUUAAAUCACUGUCCAAAACCUUUGUAGGAACUGUUUUCCAACCUUUUGGAGUUAGUUAGACCAAAUAAAAAUGAAAAAUGAAAAAAAAAUAUUUGGGGUGUUUGGGCUUCCUGAAGGUAAUACCCGGGUAUUAAGAUUUGGGGCUAGGGUAAGGUUUAAGGUUUUGGCGUUAGGGUUUAAAUCACUGUCCAAAACGUUUGUAGGAACUCGUUUCCAACCUUUUGGAGUUAGUUAGACCAAAAAGAAAUGAAAAAUGAAAAAAAAAUAUUUGUGGUGUUCGGGCUUCCUGAAGAUAAUACACGGGUAUUAAGUUUUGGGGCUAGGAAAAGGUUUAAGGUUUUUGGCGUUAGGGUUAAAAUCACUGUCCAAAACCUUUGUAGGAACUGUUUUCCAACCUUUGGGAUUUAGUUAGACCAAAUAAAAAUGAAAAAUGAAAAAAAAAAUAUUUGGGGUGUUUGGGCUUCCUGAAGGUAAUACCGGGGUAUUAAGAUUUGGGGCUAGGGUAAGGUUAAAGGUUUUGGCGUUAGGGUUUAAAUCACUGUCCAAAACGUUUGUAGGAACUCUUUUCCAACCUUUUGGAGUUAGUUAGACCAAAUAAAAAUGAAAAAUGAAAAAAAAAUAUUUGGGGUGUUCGGGCUUCCUGAAGGUAAUACCCGGGUAUUAGGUUAUGGGGCUAGGGUAAGGUUUAAGGUUUUUGGCGUUAGGGUUAAAAUCACUGUCCAAAACCUUUGUAGGAACUCUUUUCCAACCUUUUGGAGUUAGUUAGACCAAAAAAAAAGAAAAAAAAAAAAAAAUAUUUGGGGUUUUCGGGCUUCCUGAAGGUAAUACUUUAAUAAUAUUAGGUUUUGGGGCUAGGGUAAGGUUUAAGGUUUUUGGCGUUAGGGUUAAAAUCACUGUCCAAAACCUUUGUAGGAACUCUUUUCCAACCUUUUGGAGUUAGUUAGACCAAAUAAAAAAAAAAAAUAAAUAAAAAAUAUUCGGGGUGUUCGGGCUUCCUGAAGGUAAUACCCGGGUAUAAGUUUUGGGGCUAUGGUAAGGUUUAAGGUUUUUGGCAUUAGGGUUAAAAUCACUGUCCAAAACCUUUGUAGGAACUCUUUUCCAACCUUUUGGAUUUAGUUUGACCAAAUAAAAAUGUAAAAUGAAAAAAAAUAUAUUUGGGGUGUUUGGGCUUCCUGAAGGUAAUACCCGGGUAUUGAGAGUUGGGGCUAGGGUAAGGUUUAAGGUUUUGGCGUUAGGGUUUAAAUCAAUGUCCAAAACCUUUGUAGGAACUGUUUUCCAACCUUUGAGAGUUAGUUAGACCAAAUAAAAAUGAAAAAUGAAAAAAAAAUAUUUGGGGUGUUUGGGCUUCCUGAAAGUAAUACCCGGGUAUUAAGAUUUGGGGCUAGGGUAAGGUUAAAGGUUUUGGCGUUAGGGUUUAAAUCACUGUCCAAAACCUUUGUAGGAACUCUUUUCCAACCUUUUGGAGUUAGUUAGACCAAAAAGAAAUGAAAAAUGAAAAAAAAAUAUUUGUGGUGUUCGGGCUUCCUGAAGAUAAUACACGGGUAUUAGGUUUUGGGGCUAGGGAAAGGUUUAAGGUUUUUGGCGUUAGGGUUAAAAUCACUGUCCAAAACCUUUGUAGGAACUCUUUUCCAACCAUUUGGAGUUAGUUAGACCAAAUAAAAAUGAAAAAUGAAAAAAAAAUAUUUGGCUUGUUUUGGCUUCCUGAAGAUAAUGCACGGGUAUUAGGUUUUGGGGCUAGGGUAAGGUUUAAGGUUUUUGGCGUUAGGGUUAAAAUCACUGUCCAAAACCUUUGUAGGAACUAUUUUCCAAGCUUUGGGAGUUAGUUAGACCAAAAAGAAAUGAAAAAUGAAAAAAAAAUAUUUGGGGUGUUCUGGCUUCCUGAAGAUAAUACCCGGGUAUUAAGAGUUGGGGCUAGGGUAAGGUUUAAGGUUUUGGCGUUAGGGUUUAAAUCACUGUCCAAAACCUUUGUAGGAACUGUUUUCCAACCUUUUAGAGUUAGUUAGACCAAAUAAAAAUGAAAAAUGAAAAAAAAGUAUUUGGGGUGUUUGGGCAUCCUGAAGGUAAUACCCGGGUAUUAAGAUUUGGGGCUAGGGUAAGGUUUAAGGUUUUGGCGUUAGGGUUUAAAUCACUGUCCAAAACGUUUGUAGGAACUGUUUUCCAACCUUUGGGAGUUAGUUAGACCAAAUAAAAAUGAAAAAUGAAAAAAAAAAUAUUUGGGGUGUUUGGGCUUCCUGAAGGUAAUACCCGGGUAUUAAGAUUUGGGGCUAGGGUAAGGUUAAAGGUUUUGGCGUUAGGGUUUAAAUCACUGUCCAAAACCUUUGUAGGAACUCUUUUCCAACCUUUUGGAGUUAGUUAGACCAAAUAAAAAUGAAAAAUGAAAAAAAAAUAUUUGGGGUUUUCGGGCUUCCUGAAGGUAAUACCCGGGUAUUAGGUCAUGGGGCUGGGGUAAGGUUUAAGGUUUUUGGCGUUAGGGUUAAAAUUACUGUCCAAAGCCUUUGUAGUAACUCUUUUCCAACCUUUUGGAGUUAGUUAGACUAAAAAAAAAGAAAGAUGAAAAAAAAAAUAUUUGGGGUGUUCGGGCUUCCUGAAGGUAAUACUUUAAUAAUAUUAGGUUUUGGGGCUAGGGUAAGGUUUAAGGUUUUUGGCGUUAGGGUUAAAAUGACUGUCCAAAACCUAUUUAGGAACAUGUUUCAGACCUUUUGGAGUUGGUUACACCAAAUAAAAAAAAAAAAAUAAAAAAAAAAUAUUUGGGGUGUUCGGGCUUCCUGAAGGUAAUACCCGGGUAUAAGUUUUGGGGCUAUGGUAAGGUUUAAGGUUUUUGGCAUUAGGGUUAAAAUCACUGUCCAAAACCUUUGUAGGAACUCUUUUCCAACCUUUUGGAGUUAGUUAGACCAAAUAAAAAUGAAAAAUGAAAAAAAAAAUAUUUGGGGUGUUUGGGCUUCCUGAAGGUAAUACCCGGGUAUUAAGAGUUGGGGCUAGGGUAAGGUUUAAGGUUUUGGCGUUAGGGUUUAAAUCACUGUCCAAAACGUUUGUAGGAACUGUUUUCCAACCUUUGGGAGUUAGUUAGACCAAAAAGAAAUGAAAAAUGAAAAAAAAAUAUUUGGGGUUUUCGGGAUUCCUGAAGGUAAUACCCGGGUAUUAGGUUUUGGGGCUAAGGGAAGGUUUAAGGUUUUUGGCGUUAGGGUUAAAAUGACUGUCCAAAACCUAUUUAGGAACAUGUUUCAGACCUUUUGGAGUUGGUUACACCAAAUGAAAAUAAAAAAAUAAAAAAAAAAAUUAUUUGGGGUGUUCGGGCUUCCUGAAGGUAAUACCCGGGUAUAAGUUUUGGGGCGAUGGUAAGGUUUAAGGUUUUUGGCGUUAGGGUUAAAAUCACUGUCCAAAACCUUUGUAGGAACUCUUUUCCAACCUUUUGGAGUUAGUUUGACCAAAUAAAAAUGAAAAAUGAAAAAAAAAAUAUUUGGGGUGUUUGGGCUUCCUGAAGGUAAUACCCGGGUAUUGAGAGUUGGGGCUAGGGUAAGGUUUAAGGUUUUGGCGUUAGGGUUUAAAUCACUGUCCAAAACCUUUGUAGGAACUGUUUUCCAACCUUUGGGAGUUAGUUAGACCAAAUAAAAAUGAAAAAUGAAAAAAAAAUAUUUGGGGUGUUUGGGCUUCCUGAAGGUAAUACCCGGGUAUUAAGAGUUGGGGCUAGGGUAAGGUUUAAGGUUUUGGCGUUAGGGUUAAAAUCACUGUCCAAAACCUAUUUAGGAACAUGUUUCAGACCUUUUGGAGUUGGUUACACCAAAUAAAAAUAAAAAAUAAAAAAAAAAUAUUUGGGGUGUUUUGGCUUCCUGAAGAUAACACCCGGGUAUUAAGAGUUGGGGCUAGGGUAAGGUUUAAGGUUUUGGCGUUAGGGUUUAAAUCACUGUCCAAAACCUUUGUAGGAACUGUUUUCCAACCUUUUAGAGUUAGUUAGACCAAAUAAAAAUGAAAAAUGAAAAAAAAAUAUUUGGGGUGUUUGGGCUUCCUGAAGGUAAUACCCGGGUAUUAAGAUUUGGGGCUAGGGUAAGGUUUAAGGUUUUGGCGUUAGGGUUUAAAUCACUGUCCAAAACGUUUGUAGGAACUCGUUUCCAACCUUUUGGAGUUAGUUAGACCAAAAAGAAAUGAAAAAUGAAAAAAAAAUAUUUGUGGUGUUCGGGCUUCCUGAAGAUAAUACACGGGUAUUAAGUUUUGGGGCUAGGAAAAGGUUUAAGGUUUUUGGCGUUAGGGUUAAAAUCACUGUCCAAAACCUUUGUAGGAACUGUUUUCCAACCUUUGGGAUUUAGUUAGACCAAAUAAAAAUGAAAAAUGAAAAAAAAAAUAUUUGGGGUGUUUGGGCUUCCUGAAGGUAAUACCGGGGUAUUAAGAUUUGGGGCUAGGGUAAGGUUAAAGGUUUUGGCGUUAGGGUUUAAAUCACUGUCCAAAACGUUUGUAGGAACUCUUUUCCAACCUUUUGGAGUUAGUUAGACCAAAUAAAAAUGAAAAAUGAAAAAAAAAUAUUUGGGGUGUUCGGGCUUCCUGAAGGUAAUACCCGGGUAUUAGGUUAUGGGGCUGGGGUAAGGUUUAAGGUUUUUGGCGUUAGGGUUAAAAUCACUGUCCAAAACCUU